UGGGGAAUUUUGGACAAUGGGCGAAAGCCUGAUCCAGCAAUGCCGCGUGUGUGAAGAAGGCCUUCGGGUUGUAAAGCACUUUUGUCCGGAAAGAAAUCCUUGGCUCUAAUACAGUCGGGGGAUGACGGUACCGGAAGAAUAAGCACCGGCUAACUACGUGCCAGCAGCCGCGGUAAUACGUAGGGUGCAAGCGUUAAUCGGAAUUACUGGGCGUAAAGCGUGCGCAGGCGGUUUGCUAAGACCGAUGUGAAAUCCCCGGGCUCAACCUGGGAACUGCAUUGGUGACUGGCAGGCUAGAGUAUGGCAGAGGGGGGUAGAAUUCCACGUGUAGCAGUGAAAUGCGUAGAGAUGUGGAGGAAUACCGAUGGCGAAGGCAGCCCCCUGGGCCAAUACUGACGCUCAUGCACGAAAGCGUGGGGAGCAAACAGGAUUAGAUACCCUGGUAGUCCACGCCCUAAACGAUGUCAACUAGUUGUUGGGGAUUCAUUCCUUAGUAACGUAGCUAACGCGUGAAGUUGACCGCCUGGGGAGUACGGUCGCAAGAUUAAAACUUAAU
rnacentral:rRNA from 1 species